rnacentral:rRNA from 1 species
GCAGUCGAGCGGUAGAGAGGUGCUUGCACCUCUUGAGAGCGGCGGACCGGUGAGUAAAGCCUAGGAAUCUGCCUGGUAGUGGGGGAUAACGCUCGGAAACGGACGCUAAUACCGCAUACGUCCUACGGGAGAAAGCAGGGGACCUUCGGGCCUUGCGCUAUCAGAUGAGCCUAGGUCGGAUUAGCUAGUUGGUGAGGUAAUGGCUCACCAAGGCGACGAUCCGUAACUGGUCUGAGAGGAUGAUCAGUCACACUGGAACUGAGACACGGUCCAGACUCCUACGGGAGGCAGCAGUGGGGAAUAUUGGACAAUGGGCGAAAGCCUGAUCCAGCCAUGCCGCGUGUGUGAAGAAGGUCUUCGGAUUGUAAAGCACUUUAAGUUGGGAGGAAGGGCAUUAACCUAAUACGUUAGUGUUUUGACGUUACCGACAGAAUAAGCACCGGCUAACUCUGUGCCAGCAGCCGCGGUAAUACAGAGGGUGCAAGCGUUAAUCGGAAUUACUGGGCGUAAAGCGCGCGUAGGUGGUUCGUUAAGUUGGAUGUGAAAUCCCCGGGCUCAACCUGGGAACUGCAUUCAAAACUGUCGAGCUAGAGUAUGGUAGAGGGUGGUGGAAUUUCCUGUGUAGCGG